UUCUCAUCCAUCAUAAAUUAUCCAUCUUUACAUUUAUUCCUUUUUCAGUUUUCUAAAUAUAGUUUAAUUUCCAUGAAUGACAUAUUAAUGUCUAAUUCUGAGGAUUUAGGUACCCACAAAAGCAAUUCAGAGGAUGAGCUGCUUUUCUCUUCACCAACUAUGAAGAAAAUGUUGGAAGUGAUGGUGAUUCAGACUUUAAACCGUGUUCUAAAUCCAACCUUGGAAAAAUUGAUUCGUAAUGCUGUAAAACAAGAACUUGAAUUGGCAGAGAAGAAGUUUAUAUUCACCAAGGGAAACCCUGAAAAAGAUAUUCAAGCUCCUAAACCAAGAAUCUUGAAGUUGAUGUUCUUGUCGGAAGUUGAUGUUCCUGUACUUACCGGAAAGGAAAUUAAAGGAGAAGGAGGUAAUGCUAUUGAAUUGGUCUUAGUUGAUGAUAACACUGGAGAAAUUGUUGAAUCUGGACCAGAAGCAUCAGCUAAAGUGGAAAUUGUUGUUCUUAGGGGAGAAUUUGGAGAUGAUGAUGGAGGUAAUUGGACAGUUGACGAGUUUGAUAGUAAUGUUGUGCGAGAGAGGGAAGGAAAAAAGCCUCUUCUAGCAGAAACUGUACAUGUGAGACUUAAUAAAGGCAUUGGUUCUGUAGAUAAAAUCAAAUUUUCACAUUCUAAAUUCUAUAUGAAGAUGGGGAUGUUCAGGCUAGGUGCACGAAUUGUUGACACUUUCAAUAGCAUUCAAGUAAAAGAAGCAAGGACUGAAUCUUUCACUGUCAAGGAUGGGCGCCAGCAAUAUCAUGAGAAGCAUGAUCCACCAUCUCUAUCCGAUGGGGUACACCGGUUAAAAAAUAUAGGUAGAGGCAGUAAGAAUCGCCUCUCUGAUGUAAAUGUCCGCACUGUAGAGGACUUUCUGAUUUUGCUCCUAAAAGACUGUGAACGACUCAAAUGUGUACUUAAUCUAAAGCCAAAGAUGUUGGAGGAGACAAUUAGCCAUGCUCGGAGAUGCAUAACUAAUGAACGGACAUACUCUUAUAUUGACUUACAAGAAAAGGAAGGGGUGGUUUUUAACAUUGUUGGAGAGGUGCAGGGACUUAUUCUAGGGGGGCAAUAUCUACGUAUGCAUCAAUUAUCUGAAAGUGAUAAGGCUAAUGCUCAGAGGCUGCUGUUAUCUGCAUGUGAAAAUUGGGAUCAUGUAGUACCAGUUGAAAAUGAGACAUUAUUUAUGCAAUCUCCUUCUCAAAUAUUGCCAACCACGAACCCUUUGAAUUCUCCAAGCCGAGAGGUUCCUAGCACCAGUAAUGGCAUUGAGAAUUUUAGAACAAGUGAUGGACACUGUUCUACCUCUUUUCAGCACAAUGUUUCAUCCGUCAUUCCUGCCAGAAUUGCAAGUGAAAUCAGUCAGAACGAUCCUGAUUACGCCAGUAUCAGUAACAUGGAGUUCUCUAACUCCCCAAUAUAUAGUCCUUCAUUCCAACAUUUUUGGAUUGAUCCAUGCAACUUAGAAGACUUAAUUUUAUUGAAUGCUCAUCAACCAUAUGAUGCCUCUACGUCUAAGGUAAAUGUGCAUAACCGGUGGAAAAUGUUGCUUAAAAUCUUUAGACAGUCCUCAAUGAGAAGAAGAGCUGCAGCAUUAACGGAUAUUCAACCUCUGAAGAAGCAGAGAGUCUUUUGAUUCUAUUGCUUUAGACUGUUAGUAAUCAGUUCAACAGAAGUUGAAAGGAUAGAUCUCAGAGUUCCUCAUCACAGACAAGGAAAGCAUAACCUUCCACUGCAGAUUCUAGUUACUCGUUGUUCUGGUGCUGUAGAAGCUGGGAUUCAACGUUUGAGAAGGCAUGUUGAAACUCUAAUAUAGUUAUAUGUUAGAAUGUCGAAAAUAUAGGUUCAAAUGCUACUCAUGGAUCUGAAGCUAGUAUAAAUACGACGGCCUGCACAUCCAGUGAAAUGCUGAGAAAGGUACUCGUGUGAUAAAUACAUUAACUGGCAGGGACAAUGAUAGGGCUUUCUUGAUGAUUAUGCAUAUACGCAAUCUUUCAAAAAUGUAUGAACAGUGACAACUACAAAACUUAGCUUAAAAGGACAAUGUAGAGCCCACCUUCUUCCUUCGUGCCUUCAGAACUUCUUCUAAAGAUGGUCGACCUGUAACAAGAAAUACAGCUUCAGGAAAUUGUUUUUAAGACUAUAAGCCAUUAGUAUAUAUCGGAUGGCUUUCUGAGGUGCACCAUUGAAUGUAUACUGCUUAAAGAAACUGAAACAAAAUACUACUGUAUUAAACAUUUCUAAAUGAUUGAAGGUUGUGAUAUACUAAAAUAGAUGUCUAUAAUUUGUUUGUGCAUGUGAACUAGAUAGGGAAUUAAGGGUUCAACAUGAGCUAGAUCCAUCUGCUGUUUGUCUCCAAAACCUUUUUUAUAAAGGUUAUUUGGAAGAUACGAUGAAAUGGGA